UACCAGACUCCUACGGGAGGCAGCAGUGAGGAAUAUUGGUCAAUGGCCGCAGGGCUGAACCAGCCAAGUCGCGUGAGGGAUGACGGUCCUAUGGAUUGUAAACCUCUUUUGUCAGGGAGCAAAGGGCGCCACGUGUGGCGUUUUGCGAGUACCUGAAGAAAAAGCAUCGGCUAACUCCGUGCCAGCAGCCGCGGUAAUACGGAGGAUGCGAGCGUUAUCCGGAUUUAUUGGGUUUAAAGGGUGCGUAGGCGGAGUGUCAAGUCAGCGGUAAAAUUUCGGGGCUCAACCCCGUCGUGCCGUUGAAACUGACGCCCUUGAGUGAGUGAGAAGUAAGCGGAAUGCGUGGUGUAGCGGUGAAAUGCAUAGAUAUCGCGCAGAACUCCGAUUGCGAAGGCAGCAUGCCGGCUCCACACUGACGCUGAGGCACGAAAGCGUGGGUAUCGAACGGGAUUAGAUACCCGUGUA
rnacentral:rRNA from 1 species